rnacentral:rRNA from 1 species
GAUGGACGCUGGCGGCGUGCCUAAUACAUGCAAGUCGAGCGAACAGAUGAGGAGCUUGCUCCUCUGACGUUAGCGGCGGACGGGUGAGUAACACGUGGAUAACCUACCUAUAAGACUGGGAUAACUUCGGGAAACCGGAGCUAAUACCGGAUAAUAUAUUGAACCGCAUGGUUCAAUAGUGAAAGACGGUUUUGCUGUCACUUAUAGAUGGAUCCGCGCCGCAUUAGCUAGUUGGUAAGGUAACGGCUUACCAAGGCAACGAUGCGUAGCCGACCUGAGAGGGUGAUCGGCCACACUGGAACUGAGACACGGUCCAGACUCCUACGGGAGGCAGCAGUAGGGAAUCUUCCGCAAUGGGCGAAAGCUUGACGGAGCAACGCCGCGUGAGUGAUGAAGGUCUUCGGAUCGUAAAACUCUGUUAUUAGGGAAGAACAAAUGUGUAAGUAACUAUGCACGUCUUGACGGUACCUAAUCAGAAAGCCACGGCUAACUACGUG